UACGAAGGUUGCGAGCGUUGUUCGGAAUCACUGGGCUUAAAGCGCAUGUAGGCGGCCCAUCAAGUGCCUUGUGAAAUCCCACGGCUCAACCGUGGAAUUGCUUGGCAUACUGUUCGGGCUUGAGGCAGGUAGGGGCGCGUGGAACUCUUGGUGGAGCGGUGGAAUGCGUAGAUAUCAAGAGGAACGCCGGUGGCGAAAGCGGCGCGCUGGGCCUGUCCUGACGCUGAGAUGCGAAAGCCAGGGGAGCAAA
rnacentral:rRNA from 1 species